rnacentral:snRNA from 1 species
GGAUGUGAGGGUGAUGUGGUUGUGACAUUUGUCACCCAAUUGAUGACCAGUAUUGAUUUGACUGAUCUGGCUCGCUAGGCAAGUGUCCCCUUCCUUCCUCACUGCUCCCAUGUGCAUCCCUCCCAAAGCUAUCCUCUGUCAAAGAGGAUGACCUUCCCCAAAUACAGACGGACUUGUCUCUGGCCAGGGUAUCUGAGAGUCGUUGUACUCCCCUGCUAGAUAGAACCUCCAAACAAGCUCUCUAGAGAAGGGGGUGGGGUUCAAGGGAAGACAGCAUAUUGUAAACACAUUUCCUGCCUGAAGUUCUGAAGUCCUAGG